UACGUAGGCAGCGAGCGUUGUUCGGAGUUACUGGGCGUAAAGGGUGUGUAGGCGGUUCUCUAAGUUUGGUGUGAAAUCUCCCGGCUCGACCGGGAGGGUGCGCCGAAAACUGGAGGGCUAGAGUGCGGGAAGGGAGAGUAGAAUUCCUGGUGUAGCGGUGAAAUGCGUAGAUAUCAGGAGGAAUACCGGUGGUGCAGACGGCUCUCUGGACCGCGACUGACGCUGAGACACGAAAGCGUGGGUAGCAAACAGG
rnacentral:rRNA from 1 species